rnacentral:rRNA from 1 species
UAUCGGACAAUGGGCGAAAGCCUGAUCCAGCAAUGCCGCGUGAGUGAUGAAGGCCCUAGGGUUGUAAAGCUCUUUUACCCGGGAAGAUAAUGACUGUACCGGGAGAAUAAGCCCCGGCUAACUCCGUGCCAGCAGCCGCGGUAAUACGGAGGGGGCUAGCGUUGUUCGGAAUUACUGGGCGUAAAGCGCACGUAGGCGGCUUUGUAAGUCAGAGGUGAAAGCCUGGAGCUCAACUCCAGAACUGCCUUUGAGACUGCGUCGCUUGAAUCCAGGAGAGGUCAGUGGAAUUCCGAGUGUAGAGGUGAAAUUCGUAGAUAUUCGGAAGAACACCAGUGGCGAAGGCGGCUGACUGGACUGGUAUGACGCUGAGUGCGAA